rnacentral:lncRNA from 1 species
CAAGCUUAGUCUUUCUUAAGUUCUACUAAGCUUCCGGGUAGGCUGACUAGCUAACUUUGGCAUUGAAAGUUCGCUAGGCCGGACAGAUCGUCGUGUCUAAGUUACGGUCUUGUCACACUUAGAUCGUAGAUGAAUGUAUCAAAUGGCUCCGAGUCGGGAAUCAGGCCCUGGAAUCACCUCCAUCUUGGCAUUCUGAAACUGAGUCAAAUUGCUGUCCAUUAAAGUAUUUUGAGAGAGAGGGGGAGACAAUUAUGGAGUUACUGAGGAUGUUUUCUUAGUCUAAUUGAGAAAGAGAGAGGUAGACUGUGGAGUUACUGAAAAUGGAAUUUUAUGGGAACUUUGGGACUGGUGUUAAUGGAGUUUUAUGGGGAUUUUGGUGCUUGGUUUUGCAGCAACUUUAGGCUGCAUAUUUGGAGGAAGAGAAGUUGAAGUUUGGAGUGUAUUGCGGCUGGUAAUGUGUUUUAGGCAUGGGUCUAUCUUUAGGGCAUUAGGUACUAUUACAUAGGUAUAAUGAUUAGUUUAGGGGUAUGGGCCUAGGAAUUAUGGACUUAGAAAUUAUGAAUUAGGUCUGAAAAUUAAGCUUAAAAUGGGUCGUUUGAGCCCGAAUUUAUUCUUUUCCCACGAACGAGACUAAAAUACGAUCUCAUUUAUUAAUUAAUCCUACUUAAGUAAAAUAACUAUUAAAAUAAGACUUAC